CUGAGUCACAUCAAGCUUGUAUUCAUUCAACUAACAACACAAAAAACAGGAGUCUAAACUUCUUCUUCUAGCGUCUAACUCACAAAUGUUUCUUCAUUUUACCAACAAAACUUCUUUGACCGAAGCAAAAAUAUGGAUACUUCAAAAUACGCUGUUAGACAACGCUAAUGUCCUUCUCACUAGGCUCCCUGAACGAGCUGUAAAGGAGCUGCGAUACAUCAAGAAUGCUGCUGCUCGCGUGCUGACUAGAACCAGGAAAUAUGACCAUAUUAAACCAAUGCUUAGUUGUUGAUGUGGGGAGGCGGAGCCAACGGACCGACAGCGGGGUAGGACAAACCGUGGUCCUACUCAAGAUCGCGGCCAUGAGGCGGAGUAUGCAGUGGAACGGAGAGGCGGGCGUGCCUGUAGCAACGCUGCAGCGAUCGGAACCAGGUGCGUAAUACACACACCUGAUCUCAAUCUGUGCAUCUCCUCCUGCUGUAUAAAAGGGGAGAAGGAGGAGCAAUCGUGGCAGAAGGAGUAGGAGAGAGUCAGAGUGAAGACAGCCAGAUGAACGAUCAGACGACUGAGAACCACCUAGAGCCACGGAGCGACCAAGACCAGCACAGGAAGACGCAGGCGACUGAAAAGGAGACCGGCGCGAACAGCAAAGGAGGCACUGAAAGAGCGACCAACUGACACUGCGAGUGACUUUAUUGCAAAAUAAAGAGUCAAACCUGUGCGAAGCGAUGUCCUUCGUUAAUGGUCCAUGCAACCCACACGAUGGCGGCAGGAAGCCAUUCACAGUGGCGCCCAACGCAGGUCGAUCAUUGGAGGUGGAAGAGGACGACUUCCUUUGGACACUCACCGCGAAGUUAAGCAGACUGGCGGAGGAAAAGCGUCAGUAUUCCCAGCUUAUGCAAACACUGGUGGACCAAAUGGAGGGAGGCGGCGAGUGCCCCCCCCAAAGAAGUAGUCAAGGGGAAUGCCAAUGAAGUCCGGCCUGAAACCUCCUACCUGGAAAGCGGGGCUGGACAGGCGGCAGUGGCAUCUGCAGACCAGCAGGGCGAGCUGUCGGCCAAAGAUAGGGAGGCAACGCCGAGGACGGCCGCCAGAUCCACCUCAGCUCCUCGCCGUUGACUUGCCCCGCGUUGGGGGGGGGGUUUGGAAUGGACCAUGUCUCCUGGUCGUGAUGAAGAAGAAGAGGAAUCAAAUGAUGAAGAAACUCAAGAAAUUGAGAAAGGAGGAGAACUACUUGAAGAAAUUCAGGAAAAUUAUGACGAUAAAGAAGAAGUUAAAGAUGAAAAAGAAGUUAAAGAAACUCAAGAAAUUGAGAAGGAAGAAGAAAUACUUGAAGGAAUUCAAGAAAAUGAUGAGGACAAAGAAAAAGUCAAAGACGACAAAAGAAAAAGUCAAAGAGGACAAAGGAAAAGGCAAAGACAAAGACAAAGACAAAGAAAAAGGCAAAUACAAAGAAGACAAAGAAAAAGGCAAAGACAAAAAAGACAGGCGGCCGGGGCAGUUUUUUUCCCGCUCCUUUAAAAAAAAAUGGGGGGGUAGGCUCAACCGGACUGAAGCCCGGCUUGAGUUUGGCGAUGGAGAACUGUUGAGAGGCGGAGCCGACGGGCCAACAGCGGGGUAGGACAAACCAUGGUCUUACUCAAGAUGGUGAUCAGGAGGCGGAGUAUGCAGCAGAACGGAGAGGCGGGGCGCGCCUGAAGCAACGCUGCAGCGAUCGGAACCAGGUGCAUAAUACACACACCUGCUCUCAAUCUGUGCAUCUCCUCCUGCUGUAUAAAAGGGGAGAAGGAGGAGCAAUCGUGGCAGAAGGAGUAGGAGAGAGUCGGAGUGAAGACAGCCAGACGAACGAUCAGACGAGCGAGAACCACCGAGAGCCACGGAGCGACCAAGACCAGCACAGGAAGACGCAGGCGACUGAAAAGGAGACCGGCGCGAGCAGCGAAGGAGGCACUGAAAGAGCGACCGACUGACACUGCGAGCGACUUUAUUGCAAAACAAAGAGUCAAACCUGUUCAAAGCGAUGUCCUUCGUUAAUGGUUCAUGCAACCCACACGAUGGCGGCAGGAAGCCCUUCACAGUUGGUUUUUACAGUGCAUUACUGGAAAUUGAAAGAAAUGGUACAACUUUUCUUUUUUAUGAUAAAACCCUCUCGAAAUUGAGCUUUUAGUUUUUGUACCCUAAAAUCUACAGUUAUUUUACAGUGCAUUACUGUAAAUGGGAAAACAGUACCGCUGUUAUUUUUACGAUAACAGUCUGGUGACUGAUCUUCUAGUUGUUUUUUUUGUCAAAUCGAUGGUAAUUACUUUUUAAACUGCAUUUCUGUAAAUUGAAAAAAUGAUACAACUUUUUUAGGGGCAGUAAAAUUUUAGUGACUGAGCUGCUGUUUGUUUUUUUUAACAAUGCAUUACUUUAAACGGGAAAACGGUACCACUGUAAUUCUUACGGUAAAAUUCUGAUGACUGAGCUGUCAGUUUUGUUUUUACUGUAAAAUCUAUGGUCUUUGUUUGUACAGUACAUUAUUUUAAAAUGUAAAAAGGUACAGUUUUUGUAUUUACGAUAAAAUUGUACUUAUUGAGCUGGUUGUUCUAUUUACGGUAAAAUCUACAGUUGUUGUUUUUACAGUGCAAUAUUGUAAAUAAAAUU